rnacentral:lncRNA from 1 species
CUAAGAGUUGCAUUGCAGUCUUUGUUAAUUUUAACAUUUGUCUCACUUUCGUGUGUUUUUAUUGACUUUUUCCUGGUUAUGGGUCAUACUUACACUACGUAGGUUUAAUAACUUUUUAAAAUAUGCUAGACAUUUCACCACCCACCUCCUGCUAAUGGUCCAUUUUACAGAGAGCUGAUUGGUCCAUUUUACAGAGAGCUGAUAGGUCCAUUUUACAGAAAGCUGAUUAGUCCGUUUUGACAGGGUGCUGACUGGCUAUUAAAACUACAUGCAAGACAAAAAUGCAAACACUGCAAUGAGUACACUGAAAAAAGAGAAAAUAUCAAGGUCUAAAAAGAAUUAAUAGCUCCCCCAGCGAUUUUUUUAAUGUAGCUAAAGUUGAGAACCCCUGGAUUGGGUAGUCUCUAGUAUCCAUUCAGCUCUGACUUCCUACAAUUCCAUGACACACAGGAUGGAAUUUGCAAAGGGAAAGGAGGGACAGGGAAGUUGCUCAUCUGGGGGAGGGAAAGCAAGUUGAUGGGACAAGGAAGGUUUGUCAAGUAGAAUCCCCAGUUCCAAAAGACAGGACACAGGAGCAUCCCAGCAGAGAUGGCAUCCAAGAGAGGACUCUCAAAACUGCAUCAUUUUCAAAUUAGGCAGAAGGUCCUC